UGAGGAAUCUUCCGCAAAUGAGCGAAAAGUCCUGACGGAGCAACGCCGGCGUGAGUGAUGACAGCUUUCGGGAUGUAAAGCUUCUGUUUAUUAGGGAAGAAAGACAUUCUUGNGAAUAGUGAGANNGAUUGACGGUACCGGAUCAGAAAGCCACGGCUAACUACGUGCCAGCAGCCGCGGUAAUACGUAGGUGGCAAGCGUUGUCCGGAAUUAUUGGGCGUAAAGCGCGCGCAGGCGGAUAGGUCGUUUGUCUGAAAACCCCGGGGUCAACCCCCGAGAUUCAUGGAAACUGGAAAUCUAGAGUAUAGAAGAGGAAAGUGGAAUUCCUAGUGUAGCGGUGAAAUGCGCAGAUAUUAGGAAGAACACCAGUGGCGAAGGUGACUUUCUGGUCGAAAACUGACGCUGAGGCGCGAAAGCCAGGGGAUCGAACGGGAUUAGAUACCCCGGUAGUCCAGGCCGUAAACGAUGGGUACUAGGCGUUGGAGGUAUUCCCCCCUUCAGUGCCGCAGUUAACGCAAUAAGCACUCCGCCUGGGGAGUACGACCGCAAGGUUG
rnacentral:rRNA from 1 species